GAAAAACCUUUUUUUUUUAAUACCCCGGUCGGUUUAAAACCCGGCCCAAGCUUUUUUAGUUCCACCCCAUAUUGGGGCGGGAGGAAUUCUUAAUUUAUACCCUUUUUUUUUUCCCUUAAACGGGAUUUGCGACACUGUUUUAUGUUUUUCCCGCCGGUGGGUCCAACCAUUUUAUUUCCUCCUUGGUGUUUUAUAUUUUUUGAACCCCCUUGUUCGAGGAAAUGUAGGGUAGUCUUUUGGGGUGGAGCAUGGGGCUAACCCCAAUAACGGGGGUGCCGGCGCCGACUCAACAUCCUGCGAAAUUGGUAGUGGUAAGGAGGCUUUGGGGGACAGAGGACAGGGCGCCAUGGUUGGUUCAUUCGGGGCACCGCCCCACUGGGGUAAUGUAUUCCCAAUUAACUUGUUUCUAGUAAAAGGCUAAAUUAGUCAGUGGAAAAUAGCCUUAGCGAUGGAUCGGUUGAUUCGCGUAUCGAUGAAAAACGCAGCUAGCUGCGUUAUUUACCACGAAUUGCAGACGCUUAGAGUGGUGAAGUUUUGAACGCACAGCGCCGUUGGGUUUUCCCUUCGGCACGUCUGGCUCAGGGUUGUUUAAUAGACUUCGAUAUUGCUAGGAAGGCAGCAAUAUCGUGCACCGAACGGUGAUAGUGUCUAUAAAAUAGUGGUGCAUACCCCGUUUUAGGGUAAAAUAAAGGUCGUAAACUGAAACUUCUUCCGCCCGAGAAGUUAUAGGUAAUACUUAUGGAUGUGCCAUGUAUGAAAUAUGACGUGGUUAUAUACAUAAAUAGUAUUUCCUUGAAGUCUCAUUAUGCAACCUGAGCUCAGUCGUGAUUACCCGCCGAACUUAAGCAUAUCAUCAGCGGGAAAAGACCCCCG
rnacentral:rRNA from 1 species